rnacentral:rRNA from 1 species
AUGAGGGCGUCGCUGAAAGUGGUGCUGCUCCAUGGCAGCCUCGACAUUUGGGUGCACGAGGCCAAGAACCUCCCCAACAAGGACAUGUUCUCCAAGAGGGUCAGCGAGCUCCUCUCCGUCGGCGGCAAGUCCAAUGCUAAAAUGACAAGCGACCCCUACGUCACCAUCCAGGUCUCCUAUGCCACCGUCGCUCGCACCUACGUCGUUUCCAAUAGUGAGAACCCCGUUUGGGCGCAGAACUUCAAUGUGCCUGUUGGCCAUGAGGCCGCUGAGGUUGAGUUCGUCGUCAAGGACAGCGAUGUCUUUGGAGCUCAGCUCAUUGGAACUGUGGCCAUCCCUGCCGAGAAUCUUCUUUCUGGGGAUAGGAUUGAGGGCGUCUACCCAGUGCUAGAGCCCAAUGGCAAGCCAUGCGCUCCUGGUGCUGUAUUACAGCUCUCUAUUCAGUACAUCCCAGUGGCUCGCCUUACAAUGUACCACCAUGGUGUCAUUGCUGGUCCGGACUGCCUUGGAGUGCCCAAUACUUACUUCCCGCUGCGCCGUGGCAUGAGGGUGACCCUCUAUCAGGAUGCACAUGUGCCCGAUGGUUCUCUCCCAGAUAUCUGGCUUGAUCAUGGAUUGCGCUACCAACACGGGCAAUGCUGGCGUGACAUGUACGAUGCCAUAAGCCAGGCGCGGCGGUUGAUUUACAUUGUGGGUUGGUCAGUGUUCCACACGAUCGACCUCAUAAGGGAUGGAGCUGAGAAGGCACCAUCACUUGGGGACCUGUUGAAGAUGAAAUCGCAGGAAGGCGUUAGGGUAUUGCUUCUUGUAUGGGAUGAUCCAACAUCAAGGAGUAUUCUCGGCUUUAAGAUGGAUGGUUUCAUGGGCACGCGAGAUGAGGAAACACGUCGGUUUUUCAAGCACUCUUCAGUUCAAGUAUUGCUUUGCCCAAGAUCUGCUGGGAAGCGUCACAGCUGGGUGAAACAGCAGGAAACAGGAACCAUUUUUACUCAUCAUCAGAAAACAGUUAUUGUGGAUGCUGAUGCCGGCAAUUAUAGGAGAAAAAUAAUUGCUUUUGUCGGAGGUCUUGAUUUGUGUGGUGGGCGCUAUGAUACACCUGGGCAUCCUCUGUUUCAGACUCUUCAAACUUCACACAAGGAAGAUUAUUACAAUCCAAACUUUGCUGCAGUUGAUGCCCGUGGCCCAAGGGAACCAUGGCAUGACUUGCAUUCCAGGAUCGACGGUCCAGCAGCUUAUGAUGUUCUGAAGAACUUUGAGGAGCGUUGGUUGAAGGCAUCCAAACGCCAUGGGAUUAAGAAGUUGGGAAAAUCAAACGAUGAUGCACUUCUCAAGAUUGAAAGGAUACAUGAUAUUGUAAACAUUGCUGAUGCAAUUUAUUUUAGCGACAAUGACCCAGAGACAUGGCAUGUUCAGGUGUUUCGCUCUAUUGACUCAAACUCUGCCAAGGGAUUUCCAAAGGACCCACGAGUAGCAACCAUGAAGAAUCUUGUCUGUGGGAAGAAUGUACUAAUUGAUAUGAGCAUACAUACAGCUUAUGUGAAUGCCAUUAGGGCAGCCCAACACUUUAUUUACAUUGAGAACCAAUACUUCAUCGGUUCUUCAUUUAAUUGGGAUUCGAACAAAGAUAUUGGGGCUAACAAUUUGGUACCAAUUGAAAUUGCUCUCAAAAUUGCAAACAAGAUUAAGGCAAAAGAGAGGUUUUCCACAUACAUAGUAGUUCCAAUGUGGCCCGAGGGUAAUCCAACUGGUGCUCCUACACAAAGAAUUCUUUACUGGCAGAACAAAACAAUGCAAAUGAUGUAUGAGACAAUAUAUAGGGCCUUGAAAGAAGUAGGUCUGGAUGAUAUAUAUGAGCCUCAGGAUUACUUGAACUUCUUUUGUCUUGGCAAUCGUGAAAUUGGGGACAGCCCUAGUACUCCAAGUACUGCAAAUAAUCCUCAGGAUCAAGCUAGGAAAAAUAGGAGAUUCAUGGUUUAUGUACAUUCAAAAGGUAUGAUCGUAGAUGAUGAAUAUGUGAUCAUUGGAUCAGCUAAUAUCAACCAGAGGUCGAUGGAAGGGAUCAGAGAUACUGAGAUUGCAAUGGGAGCAUAUCAACCACAGUAUACAUGGGCAAAUAAAAUUUCUGCUCCCCGUGGACAGAUUUAUGGCUACAGAAUGUCCCUCUGGGCUGAGCAUAUUGGAAUUAUCGAGGAAGACUUUAACCAUCCAGAGAGCCUAGAGUGCAUGAGGCGGGUUCGUCAACUCGGGCAACAUAACUGGGAUCAGUUCUUUGCAAAUGAGGUGACUGAGAUGAGAGGCCACCUCCUCAAGUACCCUGUAAGUGUUGACCGUAAAGGCAAGGUGAAACCCUUGCCAGGAUGUGCGACAUUCCCAGACAUGGGCGGAAACAUUUGUGGCUCCUUCACGGCCAUCCAGGAAAACCUCACAAUAUGA